UACAGAGGUCUCAAGCGUUGUUCGGAUUCAUUGGGCGUAAAGCGCGUGUAGGCGGCCACACAGGUCCGCUGUGAAAACUCGAGGCUCAACCUCGAGCUGUCGGUGGAAACCGUGUGGCUAGAGUCCGGAAGAGGAGACUGGAAUUCCCGGUGUAGCGGUGGAAUGCGCAGAUAUCGGGAGGAACACCCGUGGCGAAGGCGGGUCUCUGGGACGGUACUGACGCUGAGACGCGAAAGCGUGGGGAGCGAACAGG
rnacentral:rRNA from 1 species